rnacentral:rRNA from 1 species
ACUACAUUAGAUACCCGCGUAGUCCCAGCCGUAAACGAUGCGCGUUAGGUGUAUCGGUGACCACGAGUCACCGAGGUGCCGAAGGGAAACCGUGAAACGUGCCGCCUGGGAAGUACGGUCGCAAGGCUGAAACUUAAAGGAAUUGGCGGGGAGCACCACAACGGGUGGAGCCUGCGGUUUAAUUGGACUCAACGCCGGGAAGCUCACCGGAUAAGACAGCGGAAUGAUUGCCGGGCUGAAGACCCUGCAUGACCAGCUG